UCCGUUGAGUUUAAGCAUAUCGAUAAGCGGAGAAAAAGAAACUUACAAGGAUUUCAUUAGUAACGGGGAGUGAACCAGGAAUAGGCCAGCCUUAAAAUCGUGCGGAUCUGUCAUCCGAUUUAUAGUUUGGAGAAGUGUCCUCAGCGACGGACAGGGCCCAAGUCCCCUGGAAGGGGGCGCCAGAUAGGGUGAGAGUCCCACUAUGUCCAAACCCUGUUGCACCACGAAGCACUGUCUACAAGUUGGGUUGUUAGGGAAUGUAGCCCAAAUCGGGUGGUGAAUUCCGUCCAAGGAUAAAUAAGAGCGACAGAUCGAUAGCAAAAAAGUACCGCGAGGGAAAGAUGAAAAGGACUUUAAAAAGAGAGUCAAAGAGUUCUUGAAAUUAUCAGGAGGGAAGCGGAUAGGGGCUUGCAAUGCACCCCAAUCGGAUGUAGAAUGGCGACGAACCAAUCCGCCGAUCGACUCGGGGCGUGGACCAGCAAGGAUUGGGGGGUGUCCAAACUUGGGCUCUCGAUACGCUCGUGGAAUGACGUCUCCUCGAUUAUGGAAUGCGGUGUGUGCCUCCAACUUGCUUCAGCAUCUGUACACUACGAACGCUGGCCUGUGGGCUUCCCAUUCGACCCGUCUUGAAAAAUGGACCAAGGAGUCUGACAUGUGUGCGAGUCAACGGGUGAGUAAAUUCGUAAGGCGUAAGGAAGUUGAUUGGUGGUAUCCCCCCGAGGGGUGCACUGCCGACCGACCUUGAUCUUCUGAGAAGGGUUCAAGUGUGAGCAUACCUAUCGGGACCCGAAAGAUGGUGAACUAUGCAUGAGCGGGGCGAAGCCAGGGGAAACACUGGUGGAGGCACGCAGCGAUACUGACAUGCAAAUCUUUCAUCUGACUUGGGUGUAGGGCCCGUGGCUACUUUGUCGGGCCGUUCCACAGAAUCAGGAGCUCCAAGUGGGCCAUUUUUGGUAAGCAGAACUAGCGAUGCGGGAUAAACCGAAAGCCGGGUUACGGUGCCAACCUGUGCGCUAACCUUGAUCCCACAAAGGGUGUUGGUCGAUUAAGACAGCAGGAAGGUGGUCAAGUGCUUAGCAACACGCCGAAAACAAUGUCUGUGCGUGGAGGCAUAUUGCAAUUAGAGGUUUUUGUGAUUGUCGAGUGCAAUGCUAGAGGCACGUCCAAUGACAAACUCCGACGGAUAUAUAGUGGCCUACCAUGGAGGUCUCUUCGUCAAGUUAGAUAUCCGUACACCGGCACCACCGCCCCCAAAUCACGAUGGGCAUAAGAAACC
rnacentral:ncRNA from 1 species